UCCCUGUCCUCCAGGAGCUUCCUUUCUAGUGGGGGAGACAGGCAAA
rnacentral:pre_miRNA from 1 species